rnacentral:rRNA from 1 species
AUACAGAGGGUGCAAGCGUUAAUCGGAAUUACUGGGCGUAAAGCGCGCGUAGGCGGUUUGUUAAGUUGGAUGUGAAAGCCCCGGGCUUAACCUGGGAGGGUCAUUCAAAACUGGCAGACUAGAGUGUGGUAGAGGGUAGUGGAAUUCCUAGUGUAGCGGUGAAAUGCGUAGAGAUUAGGAGGAACACCAGUGGCGAAGGCGACUGCCUGGACCAACACUGACGCUGAGGUGCGAAAGCGUGGGUAGCGAACAGGAUUAGAAACCCUAGUAGUCC